CUACGGGUCGCUCCAGUGAGGAAUAUUGCACAAUGAGGGGAACCCUGAUGCAGCAACGCCGCGUGGAGGAUGACGCAUUUCGGUGUGUAAACUCCUUUUAUAUGUCAAGAAAAUGACGGUAGCAUAUGAAUAAGCACCGGCUAACUCCGUGCCAGCAGCCGCGGUAAUACGGAGGGUGCAAGCGUUACUCGGAAUCACUGGGCGUAAAGGACGCGUAGGCGGGUUGGAAAGUCAGGUGUGAAAUACUACAGCUUAACUGUAGAACUGCACUUGAAACUUCUAAUCUAGAGUAUGGGAGGGGGAGAUGGAAUUAGUGGUGUAGGGGUAAAAUCCGUAGAUAUCACUAGGAAUACCUAAAGCGAAGGCGAUCUCCUGGAACAUUACUGACGCUAAGGCGUGAAAGCGUGGGGAGCAAACAGGAUUAGAUACCCCCGUAGUC
rnacentral:rRNA from 1 species